CCAAAAUCCAUCUAUACAAGUCUAUCUUGUUUGGAGCAAUUUUACAGGUGUUGGCAAGAGAAAUCCCUACCUCCAUUCCACUCGUGGUUGCAAUUUCAUUCAUGUUGGCCAAUCAGGAUACAAAUGAAGGAGAAUUGUAAGAACACCUCGAGGAUACACAUGAACUUUGACAUUCAUCAAGGUAAAAGAGUGAGAACACCGCUCCAAGGUGUGAGUGUGGUGACUGCCUGAGGGAGUGGAGAAGAAAAAGAUGGUGGAAGAAGUGGAAAGUGAAAGUUUGGUGUGAGCGAGCUUGAAACAUAUAAGUAAAAAUAUAAUGUAAAAGAAAAUUUAUCAAUUAAUUAUAUG